AUACGUAGGGGACGAGCGUUGUCCGGAAUUACUGGGCGUAAAGGGCGCGCAGGCGGUAUAUCAAGUCAGCUGUCAAAGACUGGGGCUCAACCCUGGUACGCGGUUGAAACUGUUAUGCCGGAGUGAUGUAGAGGCAAGUGGAAUUCCCAGUGUAGCGGGGAAAUGCGUAGAUAUUGGGAAGAACACCGGUGGCGAAGGCGACUUGCUGGGCAGCAACUGACGCUGAGGCGCGAAAGCCAGGGGAGCAAACGGGAUUAGAUACCCCGGUAGUCCUGGCCGUAAACGAUGAAUGCUAGGUGUGUGUGUAGAGAUACAUGCGUGCCGGAGUUAACGCGAUAAGCAUUCCGCCUGGGGAGUACGGUCGCAAGGUUGAAACUCAAAUGAAUGGACGGGG
rnacentral:rRNA from 1 species